rnacentral:other from 1 species
CAUCUCCUGCUGUGUUCGCCAGAAUCCGGGUACACCCUUGAGCCUUAAAUUAACUACCCGGGGCGCUAAUAUCGCGAUGCGGUGUGCAAGUCCGCCGUAUGUAGCGGAAAGCCUGAUGUAUCGUUGCAGUUCCCCCCUUGAGCCUAACGGUUCGAGGACGAUGGAUUCAGCGGCACGAGCGGGAGAUGC